rnacentral:misc_RNA from 1 species
ACCUGUUUUUGACAAGCCAAAAUCCGAAACCUUGGCCACCCAAUUCCGGUCUAAUAGUAUGUUUGAUGACUUCACAUCACGGUGGAUGAUGCUAUGCUUUGCACCCGUAUGAAGAUAGUGCAACCCUCGUGCCGCACCUAUGCAUAUUUGUAGUCUUUGCUUCCACGGAAGAGGAGGGUUCUUUGUUUUGUACAGAUGAUCUUGAA